UGCAAGUUAGUACAUUCAGUACUUUUAAUUUAGGCUUAAAAAAAAGAUCCAUAUCAUCUACUUGCUA
rnacentral:tRNA from 1 species